AACACCGGUAUCGGGAUACUGCGCGUAAGCGCACGCAGGCGGUUUGUUAGUCAGAUGUGAAAUCCCCGGGCUCAACCUGGGAACUGCAUCUGAUACUGGCAAGCUUGAGUCUCGUAGAGGGGGGUAGAAUUCCAGGUGUAGCGGUGAAAUGCGUAGAGAUCUGGAGGAAUACCGGUGGCGAAGGCGGCCCCCUGGACGAAGACUGACGCUCAGGUGCGAAUGCGUGGGGAGCAAACAGGAUUAGAUACCCUGGUAGUCCACGCCGUAAACGAUGUCGACUUGGAGGUUGUGCCCUUGAGGCGUGGCUUCCGGAGCUAACGCGUUAAGUCGACCGCCUGGGGAGUACGGCCGCAAGGUUAAAACUCAAAUGAAUUGACGGGGGCCCGCACAAGCGGUGGAGCAUGUGGUUUAAUUCGAUGCAACGCGAAGAACCUUACCUGGUCUUGACAUCCACGGAAGUUUUCAGAGAUGAGAAUGUGCCUUCGGGAACCGUGAGACGGGUGCUGC
rnacentral:rRNA from 1 species